UGAAAACGCAAUAUUAGGUUAGUUAAAGCUUAAAAUUUGAUAUACGGAUUUUAUUGAUUAUUGGGCUUGACAUUUAUUAAGCUGUGUACAGGAUUUGUUCCUUGGAAGAAAUACGGAUCUAAUUGAUUAGUUUUUAUCUUUUCUCAUUUUCGUGUGAAGUAAUUGUGAUAAUGUUCAGAUAUACGAGAAAUCCUCCAUAUACAUAUCAUGUAACUGUGAUAUUAGGUUUAAUAUCUGGUUAUUAUAUAUGGAAUGAACCUUUGAAGCAAUACGCAAAAGAACAUUUUCCUGAAACUUUUCCUGAAAAUUAUAAGAAUAAUUCAACAGAUGGCAAGGCGUAAACCACUAGUACGAGCGCCUGUAAUAGCUUUUGUAGGGGCACUUCUUGCUACAGGAUGUGUGUUUUUGUACAGAACCUAUGCACAUGAAUAUUUUAACUUUAUCUCUGAGAAGGUUGCAGAGAACGAAGCAAACUUCCUCUUUGAAAGUUACAAAGAGAAAGAAAAAAU